rnacentral:rRNA from 1 species
AGAGUUUGAUCCUGGCUCAGGACGAACGCUGGCGGCGUGCUUAACACAUGCAAGUCGAACGGAGAGGCCCUUCGGGGUACUCGAGUGGCGAACGGGUGAGUAACACGUGGGUGAUCUGCCCUGCACUUUGGGAUAAGCCUGGGAAACUGGGUCUAAUACCGAAUAUGACCACGCUCUUCAUGGGGUGUGGUGGAAAGCUUUUGCGGUGUGGGAUGGGCCCGCGGCCUAUCAGCUUGUUGGUGGGGUAAUGGCCUACCAAGGCGACGACGGGUAGCCGGCCUGAGAGGGUGACCGGCCACACUGGGACUGAGAUACGGCCCAGACUCCUACGGGAG